rnacentral:lncRNA from 1 species
AUGAGUGUGAUGUUUAGGCUGAGAGUAGACACCUGAGUGGCAGGGAAUGGACUGUGUCUGUGUGUGUGCAGAUGUGUAUGUGCUUUUGCUUACCACAGGGCAGGACGCCACAUUCCAGAUACGUUUGAAAGGACGUCCGACUGCUCGUUCACUUAUCUGUCUGGGAACUGCUCCUGGAGCACCACAAUGCCAGGCCCAGGCUGGGGCAUGAAGCAGUGUGGACUGAAAUGGGGAGUGGACGCCAGCGAGUGGUCACUGCCUUCUCUCUGGAGGGAAGGAAGGUAGCAGCUUGGGCAAGAGCGAUGGCCAGGAGAGCAGGGAGGCUGAAUGGAGAAAGAACGGAGAAUGAUCAGAAGGUCCUGGGUGCCCCAGGGCCAGAGGCUGAUUGAAAGUGCUGGAAGAGGCACAGGGCAGGCCCCAGGGGCCUCUAGUCUCCAGCAUGAACAACUGGGAGACCUUGGGGUCCCUUGAAGGAGAGAGGCAGGCACAGAGAAGUGAGUUGUGGGGUCAAGGGGCUGUGAGCUCCUAUUCCCGCUUCUCCUGGGGUGAGUGAUGGUGGGGAAGCAGGGAGUGCAGCAGAAAGAAGGAGGGGCGCCUCAGAGAACCCCAUGUGACUGUUCUGUGGCCCUGAUACGACUGUUCUGUGGCUCUGAUGUGACUGCUCUGUGGCUCUGAUGUGACUCUUCUGUGGCUCUUAUGUGUCUGUUCUGUGGCUCUGAAGUGACUCUUCUGCAGCUCCAAUGCAACUCUUCUGUGGCCCUGAUGUGACUGUUCUGCGGCUCUGAUGCGACUGCUCUGUGGCCCCGAUAUGACUAUUCUGCGGCCCUGAUGCCACUCUUCUGCAGCUCUAUGAGACUGUUCUGCAGCUCUAUGAGACUCUUCUGCAGCUCUAUGAGACUGUUCUCCAGCUCUAUGAGACUGUUCUGUGGCUCUGAUGUGACUCUUCUGCAGCUCUGAUGUAACUGUUCCGUGGCCCUGAUCGACUGUUCUGUGGCACCCACAUUCUUCAGAGCCACACUCAGAUGGAAGCUUUGCUGUGUGCAGGGGAUGAAACCAACUGUCAUUCAUCCUGCUGGAGGCCAGGAUGUCUGCCACACCCCCCGGGGCUGCCCCCUGCCUGUCUUUCCUGAAGACGUUCUCUCUCUGGCCCUGUUCCCAGGGCAGGCUGAAGGACAAAGGACAGGAAGUUGUGGGUGCACAGGAAGGUGGCCCCGUGGGCCUGGCUGCAGCAGCUCCAUCUGUGAGUUCCCGUCCAGUCCCCAAGAGCCAAGGGCAUCACUUGUCAGACGACCGACCGAGAGCCACGUGAAACCGUGGGCCUUCGCUGGUGUCCCUUUAGAAGCUCGAAGAUAUCCCGCAUGUCUCACAGUUUUGGCCUGAGGCUUCCAGCCCACCUCACGUAUCCCAUUCCACGCUCCUCACCACCCAGCCUGCCUCAGCUCGGUGUCUUCUGGGCUCCUCAUUCCAGCCUCGGGGCACCUCCCUGCAGCCCCAUGCCUGCCUCCUGUUCAUUGUGGCUUUGAGCCCCC